GACGAACGCUGGCGGCGUGCUUAACACAUGCAAGUCGAGCGGUAAGGCCCUUUCGGGGGUACACGAGCGGCGAACGGGUGAGUAACACGUGGGUGACCUGCCCUUAGCUCUGGGAUAAGCCUGGGAAACGUGGGUCUAAUACCGGAUAUGACUCCAUGACGCAUGUUGUGGGGUGGAAAGCCUUGUGCGGCUAGGGAUGGGCCUGCGGCCUAUCAGCUUGUUGGUGGGGUGAUGGCCUACCAAGGCGACGACGGGUAGCCGGCCUGAGAGGGCGACCGGCCACACUGGGACUGAGACACGGCCCAGACUCCUACGGGAGGCAGCAGUGGGGAAUCUUGCGCAAUGGGCGAAAGCCUGACGCAGCGACGCCGCGUGGGGAUGAC
rnacentral:rRNA from 1 species